AUAGUUAUUAAUCGUUAAAAGGCAAUUCAAUCGUACAUUAAGAUGAAUUUUUCAUUGAAAAAUUUAGCUUAUUGCUGCUUAAUCCUUUUAAGUUUAACAUUUAUCAGUGCCAGAGUUAUUAAUUUCUAUACAUGUGGUGAUAUUUGUACCGAGGAUUUUGAUCCUUAUUGUGUGAUGUUUGUAAAUGGUACCGUAGCACAGUUUGUCAACGAAUGUAAACUAAAUGUAUAUAGUUGUAACAGACGUUAUGUAGAUAUCUUGAAAAGCAGAAGUGGAGCUUGCAAUUACUAUUAUGGAUAAGAGGUGUCCGAAUGCAGGGGAAAAUUAAUAAGUUGUGAAACCGUUAAUAUGUCUUAAAAGUUGUAAAAUUAUAAAUUAUGUAAAUUUUUAAAGGUGAAAAAAAAUAUUGUGAAAACUAAAAAAUAA